AAGAAAGUAAGAAAGGGCGCAUGGCGGAUGCCUUGGCUCACGGAGGCGAUGAAGGACGUGAUAAGCUGCGAUAAGCCUUGGGUAGGUGCAAAUAACCUUUGAUCCAGGGAUUUCCGAAUGGGACAACCCGGCAGGCUGAAGGCCUGUCAUCACUGCUAGUGCAGUGAGGCGAACGGAGGGAACUGAAACAUCUUAGUACCUCCAGGAAGAGAAAAUAAUUUAAUGAUUCCCCUAGUAGUGGCGAGCGAACGGGGACGAGCCCAAACCUGUGACGUAGCAAUGCGCCGCAGGGGUUGUAGGACCACGCUGUCGUACUUUGAUUGUGAGGCGAAUAUACUGGAAAGUAUAAUCAUAGAGGGUGAUAAUCCCGUAUCCGAAGCAUGAUGAGACGUAGUGGUAUCCUGAGUAACGCGGAACACGUGUAAUUCUGCGCGAAUCCGCCGGGACCAUCCGGCAAGGCUAAAUACUCCCGUGAGACCGAUAGUGAACGAGU
rnacentral:rRNA from 1 species